ensembl:lincRNA
AUGUUCAAUAGGCCAUCUUCUGGCAGGGCCGCCGCUGACGGAUGGGUUGGUCGGGGAGACCACGUGCUCAGCGCCCUCUCCACCCCCGCCUAUUCCCAGGUGCCUCCAAGCAGCAGCCGUCCCCAAAUACCUCGGGCUGUUAGCUGGCGGGGGCUGUGGGCCUCUGUGGAACUUGCUUCCUCCCCGGCAGGGCGGCUGCCAGCGGGCUUGCUGCUAAAUGAAGACAGGCGCCCUGUGACUAUAAAUUAUAACACACAUCAGCUCCAGCCGAUGCACCGCAUGUCCUGCAGAAGACUCCGCAGGGGACGCCUGGCCACUGCCAAAGGGCAUUCUGGACAGUGGCUCCUAUGGCAGCCGCAGGACAGAGGCCAAGCCUGCCGCUGGGCAGAGGAGCUCUGGCAGCUCCCAGAGGUUGGAGUUUCCUUCGGAUGCGGACCACGGCUUCUCUGCACUAUUGCCUUUGGCACCAGGUCCCCUGUAUUUUGCUGUGACCUUCCAUACCCUCCACUCAUCAGUGGCCCUGGUGUUGAAAUCUUCUUCUACUGACAGUACCUGAAAAAAAUCUGUUACUAAAAGUGUAUCCAUGCCUGAUGUCAAGAGGUACAACCUGGCACCUGACAACAACCAGAGAGAGUGCCCGCUGCCUGCUGGUGAACAGGCAGCACAACCUAUUGCUUGAACUAAAUGCAAGAAGGUAUUCUUGCACACCAGACCAAGAGAGUAUCCCGCAAGAACACAGGAAUCGUAUUAUGAAACAUGGGACAGACUCAUCAAUCAUUAAAGAAGGAGAGAAGAAAGCCACGAGUGUCUUUCCAAGUGAGGAUGAAUUGUGAGGGUGAGAAUAACUUGAUGCUAUUUGUACACCACCCAAGAUACCAUUCAUGCCCUUUAAAAAUCUUGGUUAUUUUUGGUACCUUUGAGCCCCUAGUUUUCCCAGUGCACUCCUAGGUGGAAUGUCCUCUGUCUCAAUGUGUCUACAGAACAAAUCUUUCCAAAGCUGCUCAUGGGUGGUCAUGGAAAAAAAGCUUGUUCAAAUAAGUCUGGGAAAUACUGCAUAUUUCCAUUUUGGAGAUUCACAAAGCACAUUGGCAACUUACAGGUUUUGAGAAUAUUUCUUCUGUUCCCUUGGUUAUUUAAAACGUGAAAUCCAAACUCCUUGCCAGGUUUAAAAGUCAACAGACUUGUCCCACUUUACCUGAUCAACGUUACUUUCCUGGGAGGCAGACGCAUCAUUGCUGUUCCCACCUUACUCAUCCUCACUUCUGGGCCUUCUCUCACAUUCCUCUGUCCUCUAGAAAUGCCUUUCUCAGCCUCCCCACUGACUCCACACUUCAGACAAAGCACCAGUUCAAGAUUCAUGUCCUAAUGACUAACCCCCACAGUGAACUUUCUCAGAACUGUGUCUACCAAAGGUGGUGUCACGUCAGUGUGAUCCCUUCUAUGAUGCCUGGGGAUUAUUGUCUGGGGUGUUUGUAGGCAAAGCUCAUGAGAGCCCCUAAAUGUACUAUGGAUACCAUGAGUCUUGUAGAAAAAAUACUUCUUGAUGUGUAUCCUGGUUGGAUGUGCCAAUGGCUGGCUUUGUUUCCUUAUGAAACCUCUUAUACAGCUUGUCUCUCUGUGAAUUGGCAAUCGCUGGGUAAUGACUGAACAUAUGUGUUCUGUCUAUGUUUAAUUACUCUGAUAUUCCUCAAAUUAAAUGAAAUGUAUGCUACAACAGAUUCUAUCUAAAACUGUAUAAUGUUGGGCUUAUUCAAAGUUAAGAAUAUGCUCCUGGAAAUGGAAGUCUUUUUACCUGCAUGAAUAUUAAGAGUUUAUUUUUAUUUCUAAUCUAUUCCCUAUUUCUAUUCUCCCUUGCCCCUCCUCAAAAAAAAAAAAUGUCUUUUCCAAUCCAUCAGAAUGUCCAUUUGGUUUUAUUUUCAAAAUAUAUUCAGAGCCUGACCCCACUCACCACCUCCACAUCACAGGAGGUGUUCUCUUGGAAGCUAACCCUGGGAUGGAGCCAAGUGGAAGCAAGGUGAUCAGGGGAGUGCUCCUGGGAAUAUCUACGAAAAGGAAGGAAACAGCUUGGGAAGAGGGAGAGGCGGGGCUGGGGAACUCUCACAGGGCAGGCCUGAGCUGGCCACGAGGAGCUCUGAGCUAGGACAGCCCUUGGGAGCCGUGCUGAACUGAGGUGAGGAGCCAGGUCUUCAGACCCUCUACCCACACGUCUCUGGACACAGGCUGCCCUAGGAAGGCAGGAGGCCACUGGAUAAAGAAGCUCUCCUCAGAGGAGGCAACUCUUCAAGAGGAAUGACAGGCGAAGGCCGUCAGCUGGAGACCUCCCAGCUGCUGGAGGAAUAAAUACUUCAUUUCUGAAGGGGAUCUGAGCAGGGUACCACAGGCCCAGUGCACUCCGCCAUGACUGUCUUCAUCCGAGACCCCAACUUCUCAUGACUACUGUAACAGCCUCCUCACCAUUUCCCUGCUCCAGCCCUCUCAAGACAUCAGCGAGAGCAACUGAUGCUGCUGUAAACCAGCCAGCAGCUGCCCAUCCUACCGCGAGUCAUCACAGUGGCCCGUCAGACCCUGCCCUCUCUGCCUCCCGUGGCUCUUUGACCUCAGCCCCUGCUCCGCGCCCUCCUGCCCACUGUGCGCUAGGCCACACUGACCCAUUUGUUAUUUUUUACAAGUGUUUGGCCAGCGUCCUUCUAAAGCCUUCACAUUUUACUCUUCGCCGCAUCCAAAAUGCUCCCUUGGGCCUCAGCGGGGCUCUCGCCCUCGUCUCCUCCAGGUUUUCACCCACGUGGCCCUGUGCUCCAUCCCCCAGCUCUCCCAGUCCCUCUGCUGCUUGGUUUCCCAUAGCAGGGAUCUCCGCAAGGGGAGGAAUUUCGGAAUGGUGCAUUGACUACUGUGCCCCUUGUAUCUACAGCCAUGCCUAGCACGUAACAGGUGCUCAAAAAUACACAUGCUGAAUGAACUUCUGAAAGAGUUCCCAUCAUUGGCCC